UUUUUUUUUCAUUCGGAAGCAGAUAUUUUCGGAUCAAAGUCCCGAAACCAGUUUUGGUUUACAGAUUUUCGAAAAUUAUCCCUUGUCUAAAAAUUCGGAAUUUUCAAAAAUUUUCUCCAAAUCCAUGUAACGAGACAUCAAAAGAAACGACUCUUUAGACUUAAUUCAUAACAGAAAACCAAAA